GACGAACGCUGGCGGCGUGCUUAACACAUGCAAGUCGAACGGAAAGGCCCUGCUAUUGUGGGGUGCUCGAGUGGCGAACGGGUGAGUAACACGUGAGUAACCUGCCCUUGACUUUGGGAUAACUUCAGGAAACUGGGGCUAAUACCGGAUAGGAGCACCUGCUGCAUGGUGGGGGUUGGAAAGUUUCGGCGGUUGGGGAUGGACUCGCGGCUUAUCAGCUUGUUGGUGGGGUAGUGGCUUACCAAGGCUUUGACGGGUAGCCGGCCUGAGAGGGUGACCGGCCACAUUGGGACUGAGAUACGGCCCAGACUCCUACGGGAGGCAGCAGUGGGGAAUAUUGCACAAUGGGCGGAAGCCUGAUGCAGCAACGCCGCGUGCGGGAUGACGGCCUUCGGGUUGUAAACCGCUUUCGCCUGUGACGAAGCGUGAGUGACGGUAAUGGGUAAAGAAGCACCGGCUAACUACGUG
rnacentral:rRNA from 1 species